rnacentral:rRNA from 1 species
UUUGGUGGUGUGGGGAGCAACGGUUGUGUUGUUUCGCCCGGUCCCAUUCCGAACCCGGAAGCUAAGCCUGCCAGCGCCGAUGGUACUGCACUCGUAGGGGUGUGGGAGAGUAGGACACCGCCGAAC